AGGGGCUUAGGAUAAAUAUUUAAACCAGAAGCCUUCAAAGCUUCAAAUAGGAGUGGAAGUCUCCUAGUCCUUG
rnacentral:tRNA from 1 species